ACGGGAUGGCAAAGUCCACAUAGUGCAGAGGAGAAUUGUUACAGAGCAAUGCUAGAUGAAGGAGCUGAGGCUGGAGAAGUUAAGAGACCCCUGCUAGAUAGGAAGGCACGUGAGAAGUAUACUGCUCUGUCUCCUGUGGAGUAAAAAGACUUUAGCGUUCUCAGAAGAAAACCAAAUGAGAUCACACGAAUGAGACUGCUGGAGCAAUCUAAUGCAAAUAUCUACUACAGAUUAUCAAAAAGGAAAAAAAGGAGGGGAUAGGGAAGCUUAAGGGAGGAGUGCUGUGAAGAAUGGUGUCAUUUCUUCUGGACUGCUACUAAGUAAAAGUUAUCUUCUCACCUCACUCACCAAUUCCUGCCUUAGUACCACAGCAAUUAUCUUUGCCUAAACACAUUAACAGGGAAAAAUGUUCAGGUUUUUGGAGAAGAGCUACAAGUGGUGGACGGUGGCCACAGUGAAGAGUGGGGUAACUUAGACUAAACACUAUAGGAACCAUCAGAAGAAAUUUUUCCAAACUGCAGCUUAUUACAUGGGUCACACAAGGACAGUUUGCAGCAUAAGGACAGCUAGCUGCUUAUACAAGAACAUGUGCCUGACACAGUCUCACAAGCCCAGUCCAAAACUACAAGGGCCUAACUGUAACUCCAGGAUUACAAGUCCUACCUAAUAACUAUUGAGACUCGCCAGUCAGAACUCACCAGCUCUUUUGUUGCUGCCAGCACCAAUAAGCUUUCUUCCAAAACCAACGCAUAGCCUCCGCCUUUCCCAAUAAACUCUAACCUUUUCCUU
rnacentral:antisense_RNA from 1 species